CUUUCAAUCUCUAAAUGGAUCUAAAAGAAUACAGAAAUACGUUCAAGAAACUUCGACAGGAAACAAUUCCAGGAACAACUGAAGCUGCAGCAGACUUUCAGAAUAAAGCUUAAAAGGAAAGCCGAUAUAUACAUACUAGAAUAUAUUUUAAGGAAACUCUGCUGGAGAGAUUGAAACUAAUACUUUAAACCUUUCAUCCAGAGUCAAACAGUUUCACUGAGGCAAUACUAAACUCAGGAUAAGGGGCAAAUCAAGUACCAGUACCAUACCAUGCACGGUACUUCGAACACGGUACUUAACAUUAAGAUAGCACACAUGUAAAGUGUGAACUUUUGCCUAGCACUAAGAAACCAAGAAAAUGAGUGUACUCGAACACUUCAGAAAAAUGAUAAAAAUAUUUAAUAUGUGAAUAAAUUAAUUUGAAAUUGGAAGCAUUUAAAAGCAAUGAUUUUCCCCUCUUUUGCUUUCUAUAAAAGCUCACAAAGAUUAUUGAAAACUGAAUUUCAAACAAUGCUUUUUAAUUUCUAAAAUAUGCUGUUCUGGAAAGCGAUUGAGGUUUCCAGUUACAUUCCUACUGGUUGAAUUCAAUGUAAUUAUGAUUUUUCAUACGCAUAAGCUUUUUUGAGCUUUGGAACUUUGAAGUGGUUGAUUUUGCAAAGGCUUUUUUCAAGUAGGCUUUUCAAUAUAGUUAAAACGUAUUUUCUUUCAUAUCAAGAAACUAUGUGCUGUUUCAAGAAAAACACAUUGUAUUAUUAGCCUUCAUAGAACAAAGUGACUGAAUAAAAUCAUUCGAAGCACAGCUACCUGCAGAGAUGAUUAGAAAUGUGGUUUAUCCUCUGUAGAGAUUGGGAAGAAGAGAGAUUCCCCCUCCCUCUGCAAUGGCACAGGCGAAAAAACCUCUCUGAUUUACCUAGGAAGAAUCUGAGUUACUGCUUCCUACGAAAUCAGAACAGGAGCAUUUGUCUGCAAGUCUGUGCCUUCAUUAAUUACGCACCAACCUGCAUUCUUCGGUGGUGAAUACAAAAAGGGAAAGCCUUAGAAGCAGCAUUUCCCUUAGAAACGAUUGCCUGUCAAACAAAGCAUAAAAAGACAAAAGGCAGAAACACUGUUUCAGCUUGAAUGCCUUAAUGUCACUAUUUGUCAUGCAGCACUUCAUCAGAAAACCCCGAAGUACAGUUAACUCCACUCCUCGGCACGCCGCACACUUUCGCUGCUGUUGCAGGAUGAAAAUGUGCCCGGCCUGACAAUGAACCAGCAGAGCCAGCGCACAUUGUUAUGCAACUCGCCGUCUGCAAGGGUGCCUCGUAGCUCCUUCUUUAUUCAGCGAGUGCCAAGUGCAUGUUUAAUCAAUGUCACAGCUCGCCACAGUGUGCAACUAAAGCCGCUGUCAUUCCUCUCUUCAGAUUUGUCAGGCUAAGUUAUGCAAUGCUCCGAAGAAUACCUUGGAAUUAUUUGCAGAGCCUCUGAAUGCAGGUGUGUGACAGCGUUUACACGGCCGCCACUGGAACAGGCUCCUUCUUCUCAGCCCUUCUCAGCCUGGACUAAAAUGACAUAGUGUGACUGCACGUAGCGCGCUGCAUUCGGAAUUACAGCAUGGCAACGUGAGAAGCCUCUUCAGACGGCUGCCACUGAGAGUAAAUCAAAGGCUGGUGGGUUUUUUUGAAGUCUUAAUAAAUAACUAAAUACAAUUGAAUAAAGCAGGAGCUGUUUCUUUUUCUUUUUUUCUUUCUUUCCUUUUUUUUUUUUUAAAAGGCAAAACCAAACAGCAUGCAUGUCGUUGCUUUGCAUCAUCCAGGAAAAAAAAAUCCUCAUUUUAAUGAGAAUUAGUCAACGGUGAGGACCAUUACCAGAAAGGGUUUUUCUGUUUUUGACUACACUUGGCAUUAGUGGAUUACUGAGGCAGAAGGCCAGUCAUUUGGAAGAUUCGGUAACGUUAUUAUCCUCGCCGUUAAACUUCUUCCUCAAGGAACUGUUCAUGCUCCUAUCUGGUCUGUCUGAGUGAGGAGAGCAGCCCCUUCAUGAAGAUAAAAGCCUGGUUUGCCACUGAAUCUACGAGUAAGAAGCAUGUCUGAUGACAUUUUAUUCCUGAUGCAAUGUAGGCUAGCUGCCAGAAUACUGGUGAAGAUAUUUGCAGGAAAAAUGGGGACCUCUGCCAUCACAACACUGGAGGAUGUAAAAAGGCGAGAGGAGAAGGAGGAAAAAGAAGAAUCUAUUCUAGCACUGCUUGGAAUUAUUGGAACUGUGCUCAAUUUAUUUGUUAUUGUUUUUGUGUACAUCUACACUACGCUUUGAUGGCAUUUUUGAACAUCAAUUGCAUAGCACACAGUGCAAAGACCAGCGACAGUAAGGAUGAUUUCUAAAUUUAAAGCAAAAAAAAAACCAACAAACCAAAACAGUCUGACAAUAUUAUCAAUAACAUUCCAGAGCAAAGUGCCUGGCUAAGGGCACUGCAACAAUGACUGCUAAAUGUAUCUGUGAGCCCAGCUAGGGUGCUAAAUUAUGUAAAUGAAGACAGACAAUAUUCAAUUUCUCACUGAUAACAGAUGAAAGCCUAAUAGUGGAAACCGAGACAGCACUAUUUUAUUGCCAACAAACAUGCAAGGCACAAGAAAUAUAAGCAGAAAAACAGUGAGAAUAAUCAGAACAUAGAAAGAGAUUAAUUAAAUAUAUGAAUACAUACAAGCAAGCCCCGUGAUGCUUUCUGUAGUUUUGUGCAAUAUGUCUCUUCAUAGCUGAGACCAGAAAACAGACAAAAGGGUUUUAUUUUUAAAUCACUAUAAUUUAGGCUUAAAAUCUACACUGAUGUGUAAUAAGUGUGGAAACAGGAACACUGUUAUACCAAAAAAUUGUAAUACGAUAAGUAAAAUUUUAACUACUAGCUAUAUUCUGCAGCAUUUUUGUUAGUCUUGUGGAAAGCUGGAAAAGGUUAGAGUUUUCUUGCCUUUAUUGAAUCUGUAUUUGAAAUCAUGCUGUAUUGAUGAUGUGCUUUUCUAAUUAAAAAUCCUUUAAAGUGGUGUAAAAAAG